UAAUGCAAGUCGAGCGGACAGAUGGGAGCUUGCUCCCUGAUGUUAGCGGCGGACGGGUGAGUAACACGUGGGUAACCUGCCUGUAAGACUGGGAUAACUCCGGGAAACCGGGGCUAAUACCGGAUGCUUGUUUGAACCGCAUGGUUCAAACAUAAAAGGUGGCUUCGGCUACCACUUACAGAUGGACCCGCGGCGCAUUAGCUAGUUGGUGAGGUAAUGGCUCACCAAGGCGACGAUGCGUAGCCGACCUGAGAGGGUGAUCGGCCACACUGGGACUGAGACACGGCCCAGACUCCUACGGGAGGCAGCAGUAGGGAAUCUUCCGCAAUGGACGAAAGUCUGACGGAGCAACGCCGCGUGAGUGAUGAAGGUUUUCGGAUCGUAAAGCUCUGUUGUUAGGGAAGAACAUGUAUCGUUCGUAUAGGGCGGUACCUUGACGGUACGUGACCAGAAAGCCACGGCUAACUACGUGCCAGCAGCCGCGGUAAUACGUAGGUGGCAAGCGUUGUCCGGAAAUUAUUGGGCGUAAGGGGCUCGCAGGCGGUCUCUUAAUUCUGAUGUGUAUAGCCCCCGCGCCACCGUGCGACGGGGGUGGAUUC
rnacentral:rRNA from 1 species